rnacentral:lncRNA from 1 species
AAACGCCGCUGCAGUUGGGCCUUUUGUCUUCUACCUUGGGCUUGUUGUCUUUUGCCUAUCUUGGAUUACAGGGUAUUCGCCUAGAUGAAGAGCCAUUAAUUACCCAUUCAGUCAAUAUUAGGAAGACGACAAAGCUUUUUACAUAGGAUUAAGAAGACAUCAGAUUGUUCCAUUAGUAUAUUCCUGCUCACGAAUAAGCUUUCGUUAUACAUUUCCUUUUCCCCCGAGCCGCUCUAACAACUGCUGCAUAUAUUAGCAGCGGGCGGUGAGGAAUAACAGCCGAACCAGCCUUAAGAAACUUUGUGUACCGAGUCAGCAGCGAGGAACGCGACCUGUGAAGACCACUUUUGCGGGCAGGGAUCCGCAGGGACUGACUACUUUCGGACAACUGAGAUUAAGAGGCGCUCGUAGCAGAACGGCCUUGCCUUCAGCUGGUGGCGAGGAUAGGCAAUCUCAUGGAAAAGUUGGAAGAGAAUGAGAAAACCAAAGACAGAAAGAUUCAGAGAUCCGCGGAGAGACACAGGGAGAGGGAAGGGAGUUGCGCUGAAAAGACGCAAAGAUACGCGCGUGCAACUCCCUCCCCUUUCAGGUUUCAGAGGUUUGCAAACCAGGGCUGAGAGGAAGGGGCUCGGGAAGCUCACGUUCCUCUCGCCCCCCUUCUGUCUGGAGUCUCGCCCGCCAGAGGCUGGUUAACCCCAGUCCCGGCCGCCGCAGACACUGCGCUGAGCUUUUGGGUCCUCGCCUUGCCCAGCGCCAGUGCAGCUGAAGUGAGCAGCUGGUGGGAAAUGCAAAUGGCUCCUGGAGAAAUAGAAGAUACAGAAUGAUUCUCAUUCCCUCCUCGAGUGUGUGGAAGGAGCUGGACAUACGUUUCACGCUCCUAAUCCUUCUUUUACAUUUUUAGUCAUACUCCUAUUAAACAACUAAUUAAUGCCCAGAAUCACCAGGGAAUACAUUAGGCAUGCAAUCGUAGAAGCAGGGUGCUGGGGGGCUACAAACCACCGAGCUGAUUUAAGACGUGGAUUUCAGGUUUUUCCCUUGUCAAAGCAGUAAAGGAAGAGCGGGCCUUGGCGACUGUAUUUAGAUUCCGAUUACUUCAAAUUAGAAGGGGGUGGAGGGAGCGUCCAAGCAAAGCAAGCAAUUCUCUGCCCUGCAGAUGUAAACAAGAUUGUAGCAUCAAAGGUACUAGCUCCUUUAGGGCUAGAUCGCCUGGACUGGGAGCCUGGGGAAGGGGAGACACUAACCUUACGUAUCUGUGAAUUUCAAGGAUGUUACAUUUUUACAUAAACAACUCCAGUGCGGAUUCUCUGGAAUGGGGGGAGUAAUACCCCCAUUCUAGAAUAUUAAAACAUUUUCCCCCCAAAGCGUAUAUCCUUUUUAUUUCCUCAAAAUUUUGAACUAUGUCUAAAGAUAAUAGUCUUCCAGUAAACUGGAGCAUUGGACCAUUUCCUUCACCCUUUCCUACCGACAUUUUGAUGAUCUGAUUUUAAUGUGUGGGGGGCACAGGGAAUUAAAUACAGCCCAUAAAACUAAGCUUAGAUGAAACAGUGCUGGCUAAGUGGGUUCAGAUAAUUUUUAAUGAGAAUCUCAAUUACACUCCUCCCCCCAAUAUGUUGAGACAAGUGACAGAACCGUUAGAAUGGUAAUCAAAUUGGAAAGCUCAGGGAGAACAACAAUUUCGUGAUCAAAUUGGGGCAAAACCGUGGACAAAUGUGGGGUGACCUCCGCCAACUCCCUGUCACCCAAGAGUCAGGAUUUGGGAAAGGUACAGUAUUAUUUCAGAGCCCGCUGUGACGGGCUGUGUGCUACCAUUUACUUUCUUCACUCUGGAUUAUGAUCUCAACCCUGGCAAGCAAUUUCCCCAGCUCCUUAUCUGACAACAAGCGAGUAUGUAAAUACCAAUGGCUAGCGAUGUUUAACUGCCUCAAACAUUAUUGAUUUGUUGGCUGUUCUAAAUUGUCUUCCUAGUCCAGGUCUUGUUUCCGAAUUGUCUAUUCUAGAGGUUUGAUCCAUGCCUCCGAUGCUACAAUACAAUAAUUGUUUUUUUAAAAAAGGCAUUUAAGAUGAACCAAUUGAUUUGCAUAUAAAUUAAAAUUACUAUGCGUUGCCGAUUCCGGUGUUUUAUAAUCAUUUCGAAAUUAGUACUUAACCACUUGAGCUAAAAGAAUAUAUAAAUGCCUGUAUUGACUCACUAAUGAAUUACCCAAUUAAAACGUCCGGGCAAUGCUGGGCGCUGGAAAGAUUGUUAAAUCAAGACAUAUUACAGGAGGGAUAUGAAGAUUAGAAAGGUAACAGACCAAUAUCUCGCACUCAAAACGGAGUUUCCGGUGAUUCCCAG